ACCCUUUUUCCGAUUUAUUAUAUUUAUAGUCGUGUAGGGCAGAAUAAUCGAACAAUUUGCUUUCGUUUACGUUAAUUGUUAUAAUUUAAUUCUCGGUGUCUGCUGGCCAUAUUCCAUUGUUUAUAAGUUUUACUAAGGAUUGUGCAAGUAGAGGAGUCGAUUAAGCGUGCCAGGGAAGGCGUUUUGUUUAUUUGCGUGUCCAAUAUGAGGGUAUGGAAUGCCGUUUAAAUACAGAAAUGAUGACAAUCAAACUGCUAACACAGCUUUAAUGCAGGAAAGCGUUUUAGUUAUU
rnacentral:sRNA from 1 species